rnacentral:lncRNA from 1 species
CAAUUUACCUCUCCAUUAAUGUUUUAUUCUCCUGAAAAUAUUUCUGAAAUUUUAAGAGGGUAAAAUAUAGAUUUUUCAAAGUCAAAAAGAAAAUUUAAAAAAUCAAAUAUUUAUAAGCAGGUUUUCUAUAAUUUAGUCUAAAAUUUAUUAUAAUUUUUUCCACAUAUAUACAAAGACUAAAUAUUAAUAUAUCGCUAACAUAAAUAUGAUGUAAUAUUUUACUA